rnacentral:rRNA from 1 species
GACGAACGCUGGCGGCGUGCUUAACACAUGCAAGUCGAACGGAAAGGCCCUGCUUUUGUGGGGUGCUCGAGUGGCGAACGGGUGAGUAACACGUGAGUAACCUGCCCUUGACUUUGGGAUAACUUCAGGAAACUGGGGCUAAUACCGGAUAGGAGCUCCUGCUGCAUGGUGGGGGUUGGAAAGUUUCGGCGGUUGGGGAUGGACUCGCGGCUUAUCAGCUUGUUGGUGGGGUAGUGGCUUACCAAGGCUUUGACGGGUAGCCGGCCUGAGAGGGUGACCGGCCACAUUGGGACUGAGAUAGGGCCCAGACUCCUACGGGAGGCAGCAGUGGGGAAUAUUGCACAAUGGGGGGAAGCCUGAUGCAGCAACGCCGCGUGCGGGAUGACGGCCUUCGGGUUGUAAACCGCUUUCGCCUGUGACGAAGCGUGAGUGACGGUAAUGGGUAAAGAAGCACCGGCUAACUACGUG